rnacentral:rRNA from 1 species
AUUGAACGCUGGCGGCAGGCCUAACACAUGCAAGUCGAACGGUAACAGGAAGCAGCUUGCUGCUUUGCUGACGAGUGGCGGGCGGGUGAGUCAUGUGUGGGAAACUGCCCGAUGGAGGGGGAUAACUACUGGAAACGGUAGCUAAUACCGCAUAACGUCGCAAGCACAGAGUGGGGGAGCUUAUGGCCUCUUGCCCUCGGAUGUGCCCAGGUGGGAUUAUCCAGUGGGUGUGGUAACGGCUCACCUAGGCGACGAGCCCUAGCUGGUCUGAGAGGAUGACCAGCCACACUGGAACUGAGACACGGUCCAGACUCCUACGGGAGGCAGCAGUGGGGAAUAUUGCACAAUGGGCGCAAGCCUGAUGCAGCCAUGCCGCGUGUAUGAAGAAGGCCUUCGGGUUGUAAAGUACUUUCAGCGGGGAGGAAGGGAGUAAAGUUAAUACCUUUGCUCAUUGACGUUACCCGCAGAAGAAGCACCGGCUAACUCCGUG